rnacentral:lncRNA from 7 species
CCGCAAAGCCUGAUAAGAGACCUACUCGAGAUAUCCUAAGGCCUUGUUCGUUUCUGUCGGAUUGCAUCUGGAAUCGUUACAGCUAAUCAAAGUUUAUAUAAAUUAGAGAAGUAAUCCGGUUAGUAAUCGUUCCGAUCCACCAAUCCGGCACAAACGAACAAGGCCUAAGUGUUGCCCGUAAGGCCUGGUUAUCCCAUCUGACAUUAGAAUUUGCUGCUACAAGAAAGUUUGAAACGCCAUAGCUGCUAUGCAUUGAAAGUUGUACUUCUAACGCAUAAAAAAUAUAUAAAAAAUAUUUUCCCCAUUCUGAAUUGUAAGUCGUUUUAGUUUGAUCAUAAGUUGAUUUUCUAUAGUUUUAACAAGUUCAUAAAAAUAUAUUAAUAUCUGUGAAUACGCUAUUAAAAAUAUAUUUUAUGGUGUAUCUAACAAAUUUGUUCACACCCACUUGCUAUGAAGACCAAUAUUAUCGCUAUGGAAAGCGGAUGGGGCUUCAGUUUGUUCAGAUUUAUUCUAUUUCGUUGUAGCAGUAGCAUUUGAAGUGAACGAUACUCUUUCCCGUAGCGUAGCCCCUUGUUCAACAGAUAACAGAAGCAUGGCACAGUUGUCCCUUGUUCAACAGAUAACAGAAGCAUGGCACAGUUGCCCCUGUUCU